GCCAAUUCAAUGUCCCAGGGUGCCAAUUCAAUGUCCCAGGGUGCCAAUUCAAUGUCCCAGGGUGCCAAUUCAAUGUCCCAGGGUGCCAAUUCAAUGUCCCAGGGUGCCAAUUCAAUGUCCCAGGGUGCCAAUUCAAUGUCCCAGGGUGCCAAUUCAAUGUCCCAGGGUGCCAAUUCAAUGUCCCAGGGUGCCAAUUCAAUGUCCCAGGGUGCCGAUUCAAUGUCCCAGGGUGCCGAUUCAAUGUCCCAGGGUGCCAAUUCAAUGUCCCAGGAUGCCAAUUCAAUGUCCCAGGGUGCCGAUUCAAUGUCCCAGGGUGCCGAUUCAAUGUCCCAGGGUGCCAAUUCAAUGUCCCAGGGUGCCAAUUCAAUGUCCCAGGAUGCCAAUUCAAUGUCUCAGGGUGCCGAUUCAAUGUCCCAGGGUGCCGAUUCAAUGUCCCAGGGUGCCGAUUCAAUGUCCCAGGGUGCCAAUUCAAUGUCCCAGGAUGUCAAUUCAAUGUCCCAGGGUGCCAAUUCAAUGUCCCAGGGUGCCGAUUCAAUGUCCCAGGGUGCCGAUUCAAUGUGUGUGUGUCUUUAGGGAUGGUUUUCCUUAUUAUGUAAACCAAGGCCUGGACUAAAAGCACUUUCAUUGGAGAUUUCUCCAUGGAGGGUUCUUCCAGGACGAGGCCUUAACUAUACCUGGUAAAUCAUGUUUUUAAAAUGUCUGUUGUGCUGUUGUUCUGUUUCCUUCACUUUCAGUUCAAAUGCUGUGGGCUCGUACAAGGCUACCAAGACUGGGGCACAGACAUCCCCCUCUCCUGUCUCUGUUCUGAUGAGGACUCAACAGACUUUAAAUGUGUUGCUCCUGGUAACAAUACAAGAUUUGUUAUUCACUAUCCCAACAGUGAUAUGUCUGAGGAUGAUGACCACAAGGGAUUAAUGGAUGAACACAUUCUGGUAUAUAAAGAGCCAUGUCUUCCCAUCUUAAUCUCUUUCGUGGGCUAUGACAUCAUCCUGAUAAUAGGAACAUUAGUAGCACUUAAAGCAUUAUGGGAUGUUGGAGUUGUCCUGGCCAUCACAAUACCCUGCCAGAUGAGAAGAAAGGCUGAAGGCCACCUGUGAUCUUCACCUCUCAACCACCUCAAUACAGGGAGCUGUGUGACACAGCAGAGAGUGUCUGAAAUGAAAUGGUCCUCUUGUGAAGGAGACUCAAUGCACUAGUCUGAGUGCCAGUCUGUUUGUGCCAUCAUGACAACUCCUGUCACUCAUUUGUGUCAAGCCAAACAUGACAAUGGGUGACAAAGAGUUGACUUGGCAAUGACAGACUGGCACGAUGGCCUUUAUUUAGCUAGGCAAGUCAGUUACAAACAACUUCUUAUUUACAAUGACGGCCUACCGGGGAACAGUGGGUUAAACCGCCUUGUUCAGGGGCAGAACGACAGUUGGCAUUGGCAAGACCACAAACACCACAAACAGAUCUGGGAUCAGGUUAGCAAUGCACUCAUAUUAUGUACAUACUCAUAACACACAUGAAAGGACAACUCAGGACAUUAUUAGACAUCUCUACUGUGUUGUCCAAAGUGUUACUGUUCAACCAUUUAACCGUUGAAGUGCCUAAGUGUUGGUUACAGUGUCUUGAAUAAAGGGACAAUCAUCUUUUAA